GUGCAAACUGCUGCUGUGGCACCCUGCUAUGACAACUCUGAUGAGGGUCCAUGGUCAAUGAUUGUUAUCUUAUAUAGUUUGUAUGGCCUGCUACCCGUGCCCUGCUACAUACAAAGCAGCAGCCCCAUGAUUAGUCUUAUGAGCGACACCUGUGUUAGUCCUAUGGUUAGAGCUCUGUGAAAGGGGUCCAAAAUGCAAUUAUAGACAUGGAUAUAAUUGUCUAUAAUAAUCUAUGAUUCGGAAAUGUGCUUAUAUUUCAGAAUUUGGGAUUUUAAGAUGUUCCAACCUGCUGUGCAGUCUCAUUGGUGGACAUCAUGGCUGGAUACUUGGAAGUGGGAAUGCAUCAGAUUCUAACUCUUCCUCAGACCGCUAUUAAAACAAAGCAGAGGAGAACGUACGGUCCCACGCCGAAGUCCCGUGUAAAGAUGGGAAGAUAAAAAAACAACAAGAAUGCUUGAGUCACCAUGAAGUGACACCGAGGGAGCGUCUCGCAGGGAAAUAACCAGCGUGCUCCACCCCGCUGACGCCACAUUCAUAACAUGUUUCCAUGAUGCGCUCAUAAUCGAUGCCCCCCCCGUCUGCUUCUUUACACAUCAGUCUUGUUCAAAUGCAAACACAAUUGAAAACACGAUCCCUCCUUCCUGCUGUAGGUAGCGCAGGCUUAUAUGUUGUUGUUGUUGGGGUUGGGUACCUUUUCAUCAAACCAAUGUGUAUUUCUGUGCUUUGUAAAGCGUUAGUUCACCAAAAAUCAAUGCACUUUCUAUACAAUUACGUCCUGUUAUGGUUGUAUUUUCUUUUAAGGUAUACCGCUUAUAUAUGUGACACCAUUGAGUUACUGUAUAUUGACUAUUAAAGUGAAAUCUGAGCAUGCAAAAUGUAGUCUUUAUUCCAUCAAAACUUUACAGACCUUAAAUGUUGAUAAUUGUAUAUGCAUAACAUUAUUAACAGAUACAUUGUACCUGUGCCCUG
ensembl:lncRNA